rnacentral:lncRNA from 1 species
CCAGUUCACAUUUCUCAAUCAAGUCAUACCCAUUGUAAAUUUUUAGCAAUCCGCAUAUCCAAGGCAACAAUUAAUCCGUUUCAACUGAAGCAUAUGUUUCAGUGGGCUGUGAUCACAUUAUAGAAGAUUGUUUAGUUAAUUUUCCAUUCUAAGAAUUUUCCAUUCUAAGUCAAAUUUCUAUUCAAGCAUAUCAGUUCACCUAUACCAACUAUCUAUCAAGUAAGAAGAAUUGACAGCUAGCUGCCAUCCCUCCAUGCCAAAGAGGAUAAAAGAUAACGGCAAAUCCUCAAUCCUAGUGGCACAGGAAGCCAAUGCCAUGUUAUAAGAUCGCAAAUUUCUAAAAUGUUGACGAAUUUCAAAAUCGAACCCAACAGUAAGGUGUCAAAUCUUUCAAAAUACAAAUCUUCGCAUCCACAGUUAUCACCCAAAACUGCAUAGAGAGGAUUCUAAGCAUGGACAAACGAAUGGAACACUGAAGCAAGAUAUUCAGAAAUGAAUUAAAAAAAAAUUGUCCGUGCUCCAAUGAAGUUCUAUUGCUGAUCAUGGGUAAUAUAUCAAAAGAGUGGGGGGAAAAGCACAUCAAAUUACCAUGACGAUGAAAAUUGAAAGAACAGAAGCUAGAUAUCCAGAGAUGAACUAGAACAGAUACUAAUAUUUGGAAAAAGUACAAAAGCACAUGAAAUUCUGGGGUUUGCAGCAUCGUUUCAAAUGGAAAUUAAAGGCAUGAAAGCAGGCAAGAUUCAGGGUUUGCAACAUCAUCGGACGUCUUCAAUGCGUGGUAUAAAUCGCACAAAAAAGAUGGAAAGGAAGAAGAAAACUAAAAUCACUAAAGCAGGGGACACUUUAGGGUUUGCAAUAUU